UGAGGAAUAUUGGUCAAUGGACGCAAGUCUGAACCAGCCAUGCCGCGUGCAGGAUGACGGCUCUAUGAGUUGUAAACUGCUUUUGUACGAGGGUAAACUUGGUUACGUGUAACCAACUGAAAGUAUCGUACGAAUAAGGAUCGGCUAACUCCGUGCCAGCAGCCGCGGUAAUACGGAGGAUCCGAGCGUUAUCCGGAUUUAUUGGGUUUAAAGGGUGCGUAGGCGGCCAAAUAAGUUAGAGGUGAAAUCCACGGGCUCAACCUGUGAACUGCCUCUGAUACUGUUUGGCUGGAGAGUAGUUGCAGAUGGCGGAAUGUGUAGUGUAGCGGUGAAAUGCUUAGAUAUUACACAGAACACCGAUUGCGAAGGCAGCUGUCUAAGCUAUAUCUGACGCUGAUGCACGAAAGCGUGGGGAGCAAACA
rnacentral:rRNA from 1 species